GUUUAAUCAGAGGUGGUGUGAUGCGCGUACAGUGACGCUCGAAGAUGCUCAUAAACAGUUUUUUGUCAUCGUGCGGUAGGCGUGACGCGAUUAACACCGGUAACACUGAGGAACUUAUCGCGUCAUGGUAGAUAAUCGAACACCCAUUAACUCGGAGAAUAAGUAUUAUAUGGUAAAUGCGGAUCAGGACAAUCCAAGGGAAACACAAGCGAAAGAAACGAUGCCUUCGGAGCUGAGGUCGAUCAGCGUGGCUGACUGGAUCACAGUCACGAUCCUCUGUUUCGUAAAUCUCAUAAAUUAUAUGGACCGCUUCACGAUUGCUGGAUUAUUGACAUACAUCAAGCAUGACUUUGAUAUCGGUAACGAUAAGUCUGGGCUAUUGCAAACAGCAUUCAUUUUGAGCUACAUGGUGUUUGCGCCAUUAUUUGGAUAUUUAGGAGAUCGUUAUAAUAGAAAAUUUAUUAUGAGUGGAGGUGUAUUUUUAUGGUGCCUAACAACAUUUAUUGGUUCUUAUAUGAAAACCUAUGGAUGGUUCCUAUUCUUUAGGACACUUGUCGGCAUAGGAGAAGCUAGUUAUUCUACAAUCGCGCCAACAAUUAUUAGUGAUUUAUUUAUAAAAGAUGUACGUUCUAAAAUGCUCGCCCUAUUUUACUUUGCUAUUCCAGUUGGAAGUGGUUUAGGAUAUAUUACUGGAGGUGAAACAGCUCGUAUUACUGGUCAAUGGCAAUGGGGGUUGCGUAUUACUCCAGUAUUAGGAAUUGUAGCGAUUCUUCUGUUACUUUUUGUAGUAAGAGAUCCUAUCAGAGGUGAACGUGAAGGAGGUAUUCAUUUGACAAGUACCACAUGGUCAUACGAUAUCAAGCAGUUAUUAAAGAAUUCAAGUUUUAUGCUGUCUACUGCAGGAUUUACUUGUGUAGCGUUUGUCACUGGUGCACUGGCGUGGUGGGCGCCAACAUAUCUACAAUUAGGUUUCCAAUUACUUCCUUAUGGAGCAAAUGUUGAUCCAGAAGAUGUUGCAUAUAAAUUUGGCUUAAUUGGUAUGGCAUCUGGUCUAAUAGGUGUACCUUUAGGCUCUGCUAUAGCACAAAAAUUACGAACUUACUGGCAACAAGCCGAUCCUCUGAUAUGUGCCGUAGGCCUUUUAAUAAGUGCUCCUCUAUUAUUCUUCGCUAUGAUUACUGCCAAUACAAAUUCUACUCUUUGUUAUAUAUUAAUAUUUUUUGGUCAAUUAUCAUUAAAUUUGAAUUGGGCUAUUGUAGCAGACAUGUUACUGUAUGUAGUAAUUCCCACAAGAAGGUCCACAGCAGAGGCAUUCCAAAUACUCAUUGCACAUGCUUUUGGAGAUGCAGGCAGUCCUUAUCUUAUUGGACUUAUAUCAGAAGGAUUAAAGUCUAUAUUCUUGUCGGAUGUAGGAAGACAAUCUGCUAUUUAUGAUAGUCAAAAUAUAAGCGUAGAAUUCCAUAGUCUACAAUAUGCAAUGUUUCUUACAAUGUUUGUAGAAGUAUUCGGUGCUUUAUUCUUCUUCCUGACUGCAUUGCAUAUACAGAAAGACAAGGCAUUAGUUGAGCUUGCUAUUGCGGAGACAGAGGAAGAGGAGGAAAUUCAAAAUCUGUUAAACGUUCCUUAAAGUAUGGGAUUUUACUUUUGAAAACGAAAAAAAAUUUUUAAUACAACAUUUGCUAAGUUAAUUUAAAGUUUUAGAAAUUUUAUAAAAUAUAUUCGUUGUGAUAAUUUUAUUAACGACUGUAUUAAAUAAAGCAUUGGAGUGCUCGUACAUUAUCCGAUCUGGUCGGAAUGUGAAAUAAAAAUUUGCAACUAAACUAAAACAUUCUAUUUUUGCACAGUGCAUGAAUUGUUCGCAACUUUGGACUUACAAGCACAAGCUUUGGGACCAAAACGAAGGUGGAAGUCUUUCCGAUUCAGAAUGUAUUUGCAACGACGCAGUUAACAG